ACACAGAGAUUGGAGAGAGACAGGAGAGAGACAUGUUUUCAUCUAUCCUUUGUGGACUUCUGUUGUUUUUACUGCUGUGAAAUUUGACUUGCGAUAUCUGCUUAAAGCAAUGAAGAGAAAAGCUGAAGUCAGUGAUUAGGAGUGUCUGUGUAAGUAAAAGCAACAGGCAAUUACUGAGUGUGGUGUGAGAGGCACGGAAAGAUUGGGAAUUCAGCAAGAAGAGGAAUUGAAGUCAAACCUCACCUACUUCCCAGAGUCUUCUGGAUUUUCUGUUAGAAGCUUCAGUAUCUGAGGAAAGGACUCAGGCAACAAAUAAACAGCUAAGAUUUUACUAGAGUAUGAAAGGGAGAGCACUGGAGUGCAGUGCGGGGAUGGAGAUGCAGCUGUGGUGGCUGGAAGUACAGGAGGGCAGCUGGAGGCACCUGGCCUCUGAAGCCUGUCUUCUUCAUCUGGGUGAGAUCUGCUGGAGUCAGGAAGGACUUCCUGCUGCAAGGAUAAAGGUGAAGUGUGGUGGCGUAAUCAUGACUCACUGCAGCCUCGAACUCCGGGACUCAAGCUAAUCUCUUUCCUCAGCCUUCCCAGCAGCUGGGACUACAGAAUCCCACCCAUCCUAAGGCAUUACAUUUAGUCAUCAUAGCUCUUUCUUCACAGAAUUAGAAAAAACUACUUUAAAUUUCAUAUGGAACCAAAAAAGAGCCCAUAUAGCCAAGAAAAUCUUAAGCAAAAAGAACAAAGAUGGAGGCAUCAUGCUAACUGACUUCAAACUAUACUACAAGGCUACAGUAACCAAAACAGCAUGGUACUGGUGCCAAAACAGAUAUAUAGACCAAUGGAAUAGAACAGAGGCCUCAGAAAAACGUCACCCAUCUACAACCAUCUGAUCUUCAACAAAUCUGACAAAAACAAAUAAUGGGGAAGAAAUUCUGUAUUUAAUAAAUGAUCUUGGGAAAACUGGCUAGCCACAUGCAGAAAACUGAAGCUGGGCUCCUUCCUUACACCUUAUACAAAAAUUAACUCAAGAUGGAUUAAAGACUUAAACGUAAGACCUAAAACCAUAGAAACCCUAGAAGAAUACCUAGGCAAUACCAUUGAGGACACAGACAUGGGCAAAUGACUAAAGCAACAAAAGCCAAAAUUGACAAAUGGGAGCUAAUUAAACUAAAGAGCUUCUGAACAGCAAAAGAAACUAUCAUCAGAGUGAACAGGCAACCUACAGAAUGGGAGAAAAUUUUUGCAAUCUAUCCACCUGACAAAGGGCUAAUAUCCAGAAUCUACAAAUAACUUAAACAAAUUUACAAGAAAAAAAACAAACAACCCCAUCAAGAAGUGGGUGAAGGAUAUGAAAAGACACUUCUCAAAAGAAGACAUUUAUGUGGCCAACAAACAUGAAAAAAAGCUCAUCAUCACUGGGCAUUAGAGAAAUGCAAAUCAAAACCACAAUGAGAUACCAUCUCACGCCAGUUAGAAUGGCGAUCUUUAAAAAGUCAGGAAACAACAGAUGCUGGAGAGGAUGUGGAGAGAUAGGAAUGCUUUUACACUGUUGGUAGGAGUGUAAAUUAGUUCAGCAAUUGUGGAAGACUGUGUGGAGAUUCCUCAAGGAUCUAGAACCAGAAAUGCCAUUUGACCGAGCAAUCCCAUUACUGGCUAUAUACCCAAAGGAUUAUAAAUCAUUCUACUAUAGAGACACAUCCACCUGUAUGUUGAUUGCAGCACUGUUCACAAUAGCAAAGACUUGGAACCAAUGCAAAUGCCCAUCAAUGAUCGGCUGGAUAAAGAAAAUGUGGCACAUAUACACCGUGAAAUACUAUGUAGCCAUAAAAAAGGAUGAGUUCAUGUCCUUUGCAGGGAUAUGGAUGAAGCUGGAAACCAUCAUUCUCUGCAAACUAAUACAGGAACAGAAUGCCAAACACCACAUGUUCUCACUCAUAAGUGGGAGUUGAACAAUGAGAACACAUGAAUACCGGGAGGGAACAUCACACACCAGGGCCUGUCAGAGGGUCGGGGGCUAGGGAAGGGAUAGCAUUAGGAGAAAUACCUAAUGUAGAUUAUGGGUUGAUGGGUGCAGCAAACCACCAUGGCACAUGUAUAGCUAUGUAACAAACCUGCACGUUCUACACAUGUAUCCCAGAACUUAAAGCAUAAGUAAAAUAAAAAAAUAAUUAAAUGAGGAAGAAGAGUCAAAUUUUUGUGCAGAAAAAUUUGAAAGAAUUUAUGUAGAUACUACUUCCUCAAUGAGGAAGAGCAUAACUCUAUGCUCUUUAAGUCGGACAUGAACAUACUCAUUUCUUUCAAAAGAGUACAAUAUGAAAAGAGGGAAAAAGAAUAACUGUACAGUAAAGAAACCUGACAAUUGCUACCUUGGCCAAGUGACCCAGGUCAACAUCAACAGUGAUAGUGACGUUUAUGUCAUGUCCACUUGAAAUGAUGUGAUUAAAAAAAG
rnacentral:lncRNA from 1 species